rnacentral:rRNA from 1 species
UAUAGAGGUAGGGGUAGCCGCAAGGGUAGUGAGACGAGAGGGAGCACUGAAUGUCCUAAUGGGUAUUGCAACUACCUAAGAGUAUGAAACGCCGGAUGCCGUCAUCUUAUACUGGGGAGUCAGACUGGUGGGUAUAAUAUUCAUAGGCGAAAGGGCAACAGCCCAGAUCGUCAGCUAAGGUUCCUAAAUGUAAGUUAAGUGGUAAGGGAUGUGGGAUUGCACAGACAACAAGGAUGUUGGCUUAGAAGCAGCCACUCAUUCAAGGAGUGCGUUAUAGCUCACUGGUCGCGUGAUCCUGCGCCGAAGAUUGCCGGGGCUAAAACUUACUACCGGAGAUACGGCAUCAGUAAUGAGGGGUAGGGGAGCUUCCCAGACGGGUUGAAGCAUGCCCGUAAGGACAUGUGGACAGUAUGGGAG